rnacentral:rRNA from 1 species
GAUGAACGCUGGCGGCGUGCCUAAUACAUGCAAGUCGAGCGAACGGACGCGAAGCUUGCUUCUCUGAUGUUAGCGGCGGACGGGUGAGUAACACGUGGAUAACCUCCCUAUAAGACUGGGAUAACUUCGGGAAACCGGAGCUAAUACCGGAUGAUAUUUUGAACCACAUGGUUCAAAAGUGAAAGACGGUCUUGCUGUCACUUAUAGAUGGAUCCGCGCUGCAUUAGCUAGUUGGUAAGGUAACGGCUUACCAAGGCAACGAUGCAUAGCCGACCUGAGAGGGUGAUCGGCCACACUGGAACUGAGACACGGUCCAGACUCCUACGGGAGGCAGCAGUAGGGAAUCUUCCGCAAUGGGCGAAAGCCUGACGGAGCAACGCCGCGUGAGUGAUGAAGGUCUUCGGAUCGUAAAACUCUGUUAUUAGGGAAGAACAUAUGUGUAAGUAACUGUGCACAUCUUGACGGUACCUAAUCAGAAAGCCACGGCUAACUACGUG